rnacentral:rRNA from 1 species
AUGUACAAUAAUGUUGUGACAAGUGUUCGAACAAGUGAUGUCGACACCGAUGACUUCCCGAUUAAGAUAGGACUGCAUCAGGGGUCAGCUUUGAGCCCUUAUCUUUUUGCAUUGGUGAUGGAUGAGGUCACAAGGGGUAUACAAGGAGAUAUCCCAUGGUGUAUGCUCUUUGCGGAUGAUGUGGUGCUAGUUGACGAUAGUCGGAUGGGGGUAAAUAGGAAGUUAGAGUUAUGGAGACAAACCUUGGAAUCGAAAGGGUUUAGGCUUAGUAGAACUAAAACCGAGUACAUGAUGUGCGGUUUCAGUACUACUAGCUGUGAGGAGGAGGAGGUUAGCCUUGAUGGCCAGGUGGUACCUCGGAAGGACACCUUUCGGUAUUUGGGGUCAAUGUUGCAGGAGGAUGGGGGUAUUGAUGAAGAUGUGAACCAUCGAAUCAAAGCCGGAUGGAUGAAGUGGCGCCAAGCUUCUGGCAUUCUCUGUGACAAGAGAGUGCCACAAAAGUUAAAAGGCAAGUUCUACAGGACGGCGGUUCGACCCGCAAUGUUGUAUGGCGCGGAGUGUUGGCCGACUAAAAGGCGACAUGUUCAACAGUUAGGUGUGACGGAGAUGCGUAUGUUGAGAUGGAUGUGUGGCCACACGAGGAAGGAUCGAGUCCGGAAUGAUGAUAUACGAGAUAGAGUUGGGGUAGCACCAAUUGAGGAGAAGCUUGUCCAACAUCGUUUGAGAUGGUUUGGGCAUAUUCAGCGCAGGCCUCCAGAAGCUCCAGUGCAUAGCGGACGGCUAAAGCGUGCGGAGAAUGUCAAGAGAGGGCGGGGUCGACCGAUUUUGACAUGGGAGGAGUCCGUUAAGAGAGACCUGAAGGAUUGGAGUAUCGACAAAGAGCUAGCUAUGGACAGGGGUGCGUGGAAGCUUGCUAUCCAUGUGCCAGAGCCAUGA